GGCCUUGUGGUGUAGCGGUAACACACUCUCUGAUAAUUAACCAAUAGCUGAUGGCUUCCGAGGAAGUUCCUUGUUCGAACCAAGGCGAGGUCU